ensembl:snRNA U6 U6 spliceosomal RNA
GCACUCAACCACGGCGGCACAUAUACUAAAAUUGGAUUGAUACAGAGAAGAUUAGCAUGACCCCUGCGAAGCGCUCCAUCUUUUUUUUUUUUUUUUU